ensembl:snRNA U6 U6 spliceosomal RNA
GUGCUUGCUUUGGCUGCACAUCUGGUAAAAUUGCAGUGAUACAGAGAUUAGCAUGGCCCCUGCACACAGAGGAGGAGGCAUAGAUUUGUGAAAUAUUCUUUU